GAAUAUUGGUCAAUGGGCGGGAGCCUGAACCAGCCAAGUAGCGUGAAGGACGACGACCCUACGGGUUGUAAACUUCUUUUAUAAGGGAAUAAAGUUCGCCACGUGUGGUGUUUUGUAUGUACCUUAUGAAUAAGCAUCGGCUAAUUCCGUGCCAGCAGCCGCGGUAAUACGGAAGAUGCGAGCGUUAUCCGGAUUUAUUGGGUUUAAAGGGAGCGUAGGCGGGCUUUUAAGUCAGCGGUCAAAUGUCGUGGCUCAACCAUGUCAAGCCGUUGAAACUGCAAGCCUUGAGUCUGCACAGGGCACAUGGAAUUCGUGGUGUAGCGGUGAAAUGCUUAGAUAUCACGAAGAACUCCGAUCGCGAAGGCAUUGUGCCGGGGCAUAACUGACGCUGAGGCUCGAAAGUGCGGGUAUCAAACAGGAUUAGAUACCCUGGUAGUCCGCACGGUAAACGAUGAAUGCUCGCUAUGGGCGAUAUAUUGUCCGUGGCCAAGCGAAAGCGUUAAGCAUUCCACCUGGGGAGUACGCCGGCAACGGUGAAACUCAAAGGAAUUGACGGGGGCCCGCACAAGCGGAGGAACAUGUGGUUUAAUUCGAUGAUACGCGAGGAACCUUACCCGGGCUUGAAUUGCAGGUGCAUGAGUCAGAGACGGCUCUUUCCUUCGGGACUCCUGUGAAGGUGCUGCAUGGUUGUCGUCAGCUCGUGCCGUGAGGUGUCGGCUUAAGUGCCAUAACGAGCGCAACCCUUCUCCCCAGUUGCCAUCGGGUAAUGCCGGGCCCUCUGGGGACACUGCCAUCGUAAGAUGCGAGGAAGGUGGGGAUGACGUCAAAUCAGCACGGCCCUUACGUCCGGGGCCACACACGUGUUACAAUGGGGGGUACAGAGGGCCGCUGUCCGGUGACGGUCGGCCAAUCCCUAAAACCCCUCUCAGUUCGGACUGGAGUCUGCAACCCGACUCCACGAAGCUGGAUUCGCUAGUAAUCGCGCAUCAGCCAUGGCGCGGUGAAUACGUUCCCG
rnacentral:rRNA from 1 species